UUUGGUAGGAAAUUGUUUUUUUCAUUAGUGUAAUACCAGAUUUUGGCCCGGGUAAAAAAGGCCCAAGUUACAAAGAGGCCUGCAAGGGCCCAAAUUAAAAUGAAACAAAAGGGCCAAAGCUCAGUGGCCCAAAUCGGUUGCAGAAACCCUAGGGUUUCUGAGGAGAUCUUUGCGCUGCAGCACCAUAGCCCCGAAUCUUCAUACCUGCGCGUCAAAAAGAAAAAAAAAGGAAACACAAUCAAAUAUUUGAAAAUCAAAUAAAGAAAUAGAUUUGUUUCUUCUUUAGAUUUGUUUCUGCUAUUAUGUUUGCAUUUGGCUAUAAAAAAGCCACAAAAACACUGUAAGGGAAAAGAAAAAGAUCAAUAAAAAAGGAGGAAUUUUUACAGCACUAGCAGAGAAUCAAACGAAAUCUAAGGUUGAUAUAUAUUCUAUUUUGUUUUUAUUUUUAAAAAAUAAAAUAAAGGUGAGAAACAUACCUUCAUCAGGGUCGGUCGCGCCGUUGGAAGGCCGAGGUCCGUCUCCGAGAAUAGACGGUUAGAAAUUGAAAGGUCUCUAGGUUUUUUAGGGCUUCUUCGUCGAUUUCGGGAAUUUUGAGCCCGGAUCUAGGUUUAUUGGUUUCGAAGGGACAACUAGGAGUUUUUUUCCCUUUUCUGGCCACCGCAUACGGCGGUACCGGCGCGGUGGCCAGUGACCUGCUGAUGACCGGACCCUGGUCGAACCCUGGCCGGACUUGAUGGCUGAGAGAGAGGAGAGGAAAGUUUUUUUUUGUUUUUUUUAAAAGUAAUGAAAUGAUUAUUUUUUGAAGGGAAUUUUUGGUUUAUAUAGCUAAUCGAAAACGACGCCGUUUAAGGCCAGGGUUGACCCGAAUCUGACCCGACCCAACCUUAGGAUCCGCGUGUUUUAUACGGAGGGGAAAAUUGCAUUUUUAGCCCUUCCGCCUUUUAAUAUAUUUACAAUUAAGUAUUUUUAUUUUUUUAAUUCGCCCUUUAAUUUAUUUUUAAUCUCAAUUUAGCCCUACUUGAACGACGCCGUUUUAGAGGAGAAGGGAAAAUUUCCCUUCCAACCCCUCUAUGUAAUUCGUGUGUUCGAUCUAGUCCUUUUGGCUUUAUUUAUUUGUGGAUUUUACCCCAAAAUUUUUAAUUGCAGUUCAAUUUAGUAUUUUUUUAUUUUUUUAAUUAAUUAAUUCUAAUAAUGUAAUUAAUAAUUAUUUUAUUUUAUUUUAUUUAUAUUUAUAUUUAUAUUUAUAUUUUUUUUUAUUUUUUGUAACUUUUAUAUGUAAUUAUUUUUUAGGUACAUAAUUAUUAUUUUAAACUGAUUUUUUAUUUAUUUAUGUAUGUACACAUAUUGAUUUUUGAUAAUGUGUUUAUUUUUUUUCCUAACAAAUAUUCUUUUAUAUUUAUAUAAACAUGUAUAUAUCUAUGUUUUUCUGUAUCUUCGAAAAUGUUCAAAUAUAUAUAUAUUUUUAAACACCUAUUUCAUAAUCUAUAUAUAUGUUUAUAUAUAUUUUCUUUAUUUUCAUAAAUAUAUUAUGUAUUGUAUAUAUAUAUAUAAGUUCUAUAACUCAAAAAUUUAUUUGUAAAUCAUAUGUAUAUUUUUAAUCUUCAUAAUUUCCAUGUGUAUAUUAUAUAUCUUCUUAUCUUUAUUUUGCUUGCUUUCUUCAUUCUUUAUUCAAUUGUGUUUACAUUUAUUCAUGUAAUAUUUUGCAUGUCAUGGAUUAUUUUAUUUCGUUUAUUUAUUUGUUUAUAUUGUUUCUAUGCCAUUGAUAUAUUUGUUAUUGUGACAUUUAUGCAUACAUUCAAUCACGUCAUCUUUUACUCGAACUUAAAAAAAUAGAACUUUUCAAAAUAGAGACAAUACUUGUAUUUAGGAUUUUCAAGAAAGUUGAGCCCUAACGUAUUGGGUUCCGAUUUUCUUCGUUAAAUCCAACAAUCGAGAAUUACUCUUUGAUCAAAUAAAAUAAAACUUGUCAUCGGGAAUUCGAUGUGUUGUGUCCUAACGUAUUGGAUGUGACACGUUGAUUUCUCGAGAUAAAGAUUUUUAAAAAUAUAUAUAUAUAAAGGAAAUAUUGAAUGUUUGGGAUUUUAAGAAAUCGUGCCCUAACGUAUUGGGCUACGAUUUCUUCAUAAAUUUUAAACAAUUAAAUAUUUUCUUAAAUUUUAUUAAACGAGUUUUUUGGACCAACUCAUCUUGAAGAGAAUAAAAUGUUGUGCCCUAACGCAUUGGGUGUGAUAUUUUUCUUUUCAAAAAGAGAAAGUCUUAAUAAAUAAUUUCAUUUAACUAAGGAUAGUAUUUUUUUAAACUCUCGACUUUAAGACAUUAAUUAAUCAAUUUGGUACCAAUUUUUGGGCGUUACGAGGGUGCUAAUCCUUCAUCGUACGUAACUGACUCCUGAAUCCGUUUUUCUGAAACUCGUAGACCAAAGCUAUUUUUUAGGUGAUCUAAUCACACCUUAAUAAAAGAUUGGUGGCGACUCCAAUUUUCAUCGACAACUAAUUUUUGUUUUUUUCUCAAAAAAAUAAAAAUGGUUUCGACAGUUUGGCGACUCCACUGGGGACUUUUUGAGUCGAGCCACAAAGUUGGUUAAUUUUUGUCUUAUAGUCGGAAAAUGAAACUUGUUUUUAAAAAAAAUCCUCUUGCAUUCAUUAUUUUUAUGUUUAAUUGAUUUAAGUACUUUAAAUUGUUUUUUUUUUCAUUAUACAUUACAUGUGUUGGAUAAUUUUACCCUUUUAUGUGGGAGUGAGAAACUAUUCCUUCGUGAGGUUUUCACCUCCGUAUAGGAUAGUGGAUCACUUUCGGAAUACAUCGGUACAUAUGCCUUCGUGAGAUUAUCAUCUCCGUAUAGUCAUAGGGAAAAUGUGUUCCCCUGAACCACACUUGAUCUAUAUGAGCCUAUAAUGGGUGAAGAUCGAGUAAUCUGCUGGUUCGGGUACCCUUACUUUAGAACCGAACCGCAUAUAAUGAGCCUUAGGAGCCUACCCCUGGUAGAAUCACACCGAAUGCCUAGAGGUCACCCGAAAACUUGGUUUAAAUUUACGAUCAUUUUGUUAUAUUUUGUCCAUUUUUGUUACGAUUAUAAUUACUUCGGUUUGUAAUUACUUUAUUGGUUUGAAUUUUGAUGUUUCUACAUAUUGCAUUACAUAACCACUCGAUUAUAUCCUUUUAAGUGGGAGUGAGAAGCUAUUUCCUUCGUGAGUUCUUCACCUCCGUGCAAGAUAGCGGAUUGCUUUCGGGAUACAUCCGUACCUAUGUUUUCGUGAGAUUUUCAUCUCCGUGCAGCCAUAGGGAAAUUUAUUCCCCUGAACUGAACUUGGUCCGUAUGAGCCUAUAAUGGGUGAGGAUUGAGGAAUCAGCUAGUUUAGGUACCCUUACCUUAGAGCCAAACUACAUAUAGUGAACCCUAGUUGCCCACCUUAGGAAUAAUUACACCAAACCCUAGUGGUUUCCCGAGUAGAUGCUCAAUUUGUUUCUUUCUUGCUUGCUUUUGUUUUGCACUAACCUGAUUCGUUUUGUUAUGGUUAUGAUUGCAUUGCAUUUUCAUCAUAGAAAAGAGGUGUUGAUUCACGUUCAGUAUCUAAAUAGAGAGCUUGUCAUAAAAAAACAGAUUUCUUGAUAAAGUGGGAGAUAAUACGGUCAUCCAAAUAUAGUCCGAGAAAACGUAACGAGAGAAAGAUGAUGGUCUAAAGGAGGACUACGCAACUUUACUUCGUUGCCCGAAGAUUCAAGUUGAUAAAGAUUAUUUGAGAGUCGUCAACCUCCCGACCUUUUAAAGAGAAGCCAACGAGCAUUACGAGGAUAAAUGAGCAACAAUUCACGACCCAGAUCAAGCAAAAAGGAGAUAGAAGAGACACCUUUUUUGGAAAGUUUACGAGAUUUUAACAUCCGGAUAUGAAAAAAUAGAUUGAUAUAUUCACCUGGAGUAUGAGGGCAAGGCCGUAAAAAUAUCCAUUUUAUGUAAAGAGAUUUGUUUUCUAGAAAAGUUGUUCUAAUAGAAUUGAAUCAGAAUCAUCGCCUCUCUUCUUUUGCAUUCAUGGCAUUCAUUGCAUUAGCUUUGCAUUGCAUCAUAUAUAUUAAAUCUCACAAAAUGACUCUAAAAUUUUGGCAGUUAUCCUAGAAUAUCGGUACACGAGGAAAAAACAAAGUAAUAGACCAAAGAUUGGAAAGACCUGAACAACUCUAAAGGGAGAGGUAGGACCAGCUAAUGCUGCAAGAGCGUUAGCUAAGGUCCAACAAAAUAUGAUGGACAAUAAAAAAUGAAGGAGUUAAAAGAAACGUUCACAUCAAUGUCAUAACAACUGAAAAGGGACCUUGUUAGACAUCUACCCUUAUAAACUUAGGAGUGUUCUGAAUAAUCGGACUGCAGAAGAAAUUCCUGUAGUAUUUAGAGCUUACUUAGAGUAAUAUUCAGAACACACUUGUUGCUUUCAGCCUAGAGGUAAUAAGAACUCAUUUGUGAAAUAGGCUAAUGUCUGAACGUCAUUAUUUUAAUGAAAUGCAUCUUUGCGAUCAUUUUUUAGCCAAUAUUCUUUCAUUCUUUACAAAUAAUUAUUUUUUAUUCUUUCAUUCUAUUGGAUUAUCUUCCAAAUAAAUCUUUCAUUCAUAAUCAUACUAUACAGAUUCUUAAAUUCAUACAUUCUUUGUAUAAUCUUUUGUACCUACAAUAGGUCCUUGGAUAUCAACGACGUGAGUGACACUGCUACAGACUCAGAAUCUCCUUUUGAGCGAGACAUGUUUUUAGAGGGAUCUCAUGACUUUGAAGAUGACAUAGAUUGUAGCCUAUUUCCGGACUUGUUAAGGAUGGUAGAACAAGUCGAGAAACGGAUCUUACCCUACAAAGAAUCAUUGAGAUAUAUGACUUCUCCUUAUGUGGGGCAUGAAGGUCAUUUGGUCGAUCUCGCCAAAAGAAUCUGACGGUCAUCGAUUCAUCUUUGUGGUCGUCAAUUACUUUACUAAAUGGGUGGAAGUUGCUUCAUAUUCCAAUGUCACAAAGUCGACAGUUAGCAAAUUCGUGAAGAAUCAUAUGUCAGUAUGGAACGCCAAAAGGAUCAUAUCUGACAAUGUACUAAAUUUGAACAACAGCACAAAUCAAAAGUUUGCAGUCUGUUCACGAUUAAUGCCAUAUUGCCCAAAAAAAGAUGGCGCAAAAAAAAUCUGCCGGGGCAAUACAUUUCUCUUAGGCCUAUCAUGACUCUUUCUCUCUGAGUUCUGGAUCCAAUUUCAUUUGAAGAGGAAUGUUCAAAGUUUUCCAUCAUGGUCAAAUACGCAAAAAGCAAAUGAUGCGAGCUCAUAAAAAGGUCCGCCCUAGAGAAUUCCUCGAGAGGGACCUAGUAUUGAAGAAUAUAUUUCUCAUACAAAAAGAACUUCAUUCCAAGCUGGGAAGGACCUUAUGUGGAAGGCUUUAUCUGGAAAAGCAUCGAUCAGAGGGGAUAACAAUGACAUGCAUAAUUCUAUGAGUUCAGAGGCCAAGGUGAAAAUCCGCAAAGGACGCCUUGAGACCAAAGGGGAUUUCAGUUGAAAGCCCGAAAAGAGCAGUUCAAAUAUUGAUCAGCAUGGGGCAUAAGGUGAUCAGAACAGUUCAAAUUUUAAUCAGAUAGGGGCAUAUGAUGAUCUUGCUAUACUUGAAUCAACAGGAAAAGGUAGGCGACAUCUUAGGGCAUCGACAAAGCAUUGUAGAUCUCCUAAACACAUGUCAAACUCAGAAUGGUCUCCAGAAAGUUUGUACAUAGAAGCUCAAGCUGGGAUAUCUGGGGCACCCAAUUUUCAUACGAUUUAUAUUGAAUUUUUUGUUCUUAGAAUACCUCAUUCUUUUCCAAGAUACACAUUCUCAAUCAAUUUCUUUGUUAUCCUUAUCUAUUCCUUUCGAGCUAUGCUCAGAACCAAUUGUAUUCUCAUCCAUUGUUAUACCCUUUUUUCAAGCAUGUUGCAUUGGAAUAAUGAUUAAUGGACUAAUAAAACUUUUACAAGGGAAGUUCUGCAUAUUACUCUAGAAGUUUCUAAAUAAUACAGGAACCUGAAACGGGACUAUUGUUUAGAACGCACCAUGUUUAAAGGUUGGAAAUUUGAAAAGGAAGAGUCUAAAUUAGGACUUUCUCUUUGGAUCUUAUUAUCAAAAACAUUGAUGAUAAGAUGUCGUGUUGAUGACAAGGCUUAAAUAAACAAGCAAGCAAUGAUCACAGACAAUAGGAAGAGGUUUCCUCGGAGAAGAAAGCCUUUAUUUGUGCAUGAGCCUUUGGUACAACACCCUGGGAAUGGUGUAACAGACCAUAAAGAAAAGCCAUAUACCCUUGGGUUACAGUGGGAGAACGAUGGUAUGAAUUUUUGUGCCCUAAUGGAUUAAACUUUGAGGUUUACAGUGGGGGAAACCUGACUAAAUGUUUCUUUAGAAAAGCCAGCCAAGCAAGAAGGUGUUGUAGCACGUCAGUGUUAAAGCCUUAAUAAUCUUUGAACAAUGAAAACCUAGGUGGGAUCAUUCUCGGAAAAAGAAAACUAUGCAUUCAUGCAAACACCAUUCACACAUGUCUAGUUAGGAGCAUUUGAUUCAUUUUAUUCCAUCCUAAUCAUUAGGCAUAAAUAGGUUCGUUAUACAGGUCAUGUUCCCCAGAGAACAGAUCGGUAAAAAUAGCAGAUCUUGCCUUCUUGCACCGACAGCGAAGCAGAUUGAAGACACCAGCCUUGCCUCCUUGGGUUGCAGCAGAGCAGGCUAAAAAUAGCAGAUCUUGCCUUCCUGCACUGACAGCGAAGCAGAUCGAAGACACCAUCCUUGCCUCCCUGGGUUGCAGCGGAGCAGGUUAAAAAUAGCAGAUCUUGCCUUCCUGCACCGACAGCGAAGCAGAUCGAAGACACCAGCCUUGCCUCCCUGGAUUGCAGCAGAUCAGGUUAAAAAUAUCAGAUCUUUCCUUCUUGCACCAACAGCGAAGCAGAUCGAAGACACCAGCCUUGCCUCUCUGGGUUGCAGCGGAGUAGGUUAAAAAUAGCAGAUCUUGCCUUCCUACACCGACAGCGAAGCAGAUCGAUGACCCUAACCCUAUCUCCCUGGUCAGCAUUGGAAUAGAUUAAAGAGCCCUAUCUCCCUGGUUAGCAGUGAAAUAGGUUAAAGAUUGUGAAUCUUAUCUCCCUGGUCAGUAGUGGAAUAGGUUGAAGAUUGAGAAUGCUAUCUCCCUGGGCAGCAGUGGAAUAGAUUAAAGAGCCCUAUCUCCCUGGUCAGUAGUGGAAUAGGUUAAAGAUUGUGAAUCCUAUCUCCCUGGACAGUAGUGGAAUAGGUUAAUGAUGGCAAAUCUUAUCUCCCUGAAGUUGCAGUGAAGCGGAUUAAAACCACGGAUCUUAUCUCUCUGAAGGUACAGUAGAGUAGAUCACAUCGGGUCUUAUUUUCCUGAAGUUGUAGUGGAGUAGACCCAAGAAAGCGAGUCUUAUUUCCCUGAAGUUGUAGUGGACCAGACUCAAUGAAGUAAGUCUUAUCCCCUGAAAUUGCAGUGGGGCAGACUAAAUAAACAAAUCCUAUCUCCCUAAAGUUGUAGUGGAGUGGAUUAGAAGGUUGGAUCUUGUCUCUCUGAAAUUACAGUAGAGCAGAUCGCAUCAAAUUCAUCUUUGAGUUGCAGCGGAUCAAGUUGAAGCUACAAAUCUUAUCUCCCUGAAGUUGCAGUGGAGCAGAUUUUGUUCUCUUGAGAAACUACAACAUAAGAAUCCUAUCUCCCUAGCAUUGCAGUGGAGUAAAUUGAAGCAGAUUGAAGACAUCAACCUUGCCUCCCUGGGUUGCAGCGGAGCAGGUUAAAAAUAGCAGAUAUUGCCUUCCUGCACCAACAGCAAAGCUGAUCGAAGACUCCAGCCUUAUCUCCCUGAGUAGCAGUGGAGUAGGUUGAAAAUUACAGAUCUUAUCUCCCUAAGCAAUAGUGGAGUAGAUCGAAGUCCCCAGCCUUGUCUCCCUGAGCAGCAAUGGAGCAGAUCUAAAGUUUCAUUAGAGUAGAUCGCAUCAAGUCUUACCUCUCUGAGGUUACAGUGGAGCAGACUGAAGAAUAGAGUAGAUCGCAUCAAGUCUUAUCUCCUUGAGUUUACAGUGGAGCAGACUGAAGAAUAGAGUAGAUCGCAUCAAGUCUUAUCUCCUUGAGUUUACAGUGGAGCAGACUGAAGAAUAGAGUAGAUCGUAUCAAAUUCAUCUUUGGGUUGAAGCUAUAAGUCUUAUCUCCCUGAAGUUGCAGUGGAGUAAAGUGAAGUACUAAUUCCUGUACCUCUGAAGAUGCAGUAGGAAGGAAUGAGGCUACUUGAAGAAGAAGAGUUCCAAAGUCCAGCAUGACCAGGCAAAACUGGGCAUUUUUAAAAGUCUUUGCUUCGUUCCUGUUACACAAUAACGAGCAAAGAGGGGCAGCUGUAAUACCCGAUUUUGGCCUGGGUAAAAAAGGCCCAAGUUACAAAUAGGCUUGCAAGGGCCCAAACCAAAAUGAAACAAAAGGGCCAAAGCUCAGUGGCCCAAAUCGGUUGCAGAAACCCUAGAGUUUCUGAGGAGACCUUUGCGCCGCAGCACCAUAGCCCUGAAUCUUCAUACCUGCGCGUCAAAAAGAAACAAAAAAGGAAACACAAUCAAAUAUUCAAAAAUCAAAUAAAGAAACAGAUUUGUUUCUUCUUUAGAUUUGUUUCUGCUAUUAUGUUUGCAUUUAGCUAUAAAAAAUCCACAAAAACAUUGUAAUGGAAAAGAAAAAGAUCAAUAAAAAAGGAGAAAUUUUUACAGCACUAGCAGAGAAUCAAACGAAAUCUAAGGUUGAUAUAUAUUCUAUUUUGUUUUUAUUUUUACAAAAUAAAAUAAAGGUGAGAAACAUACUUCAUCAGAGUUGGUCGCGCCGUUGGAAGGCCGAGGUCCGUCUCCGAGAAUAAACGGUUAGAAAUCGAAAGGUCUCUAGGUUUUUUAGGGCUUCUUCGUCGAUUUCGAGAAUUUUGAGCCCGGAUCUAGGUUUAUUGGUUUCGAAGGGACAACUAUGAGUGUUUUUCCCUUUUUCGCCACUGCAUACGGCGGUGCCGGCGCCGGAGAUCGGUUGCCGGCGCGGUGGCCAGUGACCGGCCGAUGACCGGACCCUGGUCGGACCCUGGCCGGACUUGAUGGCUGAGAGAGAGG
rnacentral:lncRNA from 1 species